AACGCACAUUGCGCCCCUCGGCAUUCCGGGGGGCAUGCCUGUCCGAGCGUCAUUACAACCAUCAAGCACAGCUUGGCAAUGGACCAUCGCCCCGGCCUCACCGCCAGGGCGUGUCCCAAACCUGUCGGCAGAGUCGAGCGGACCCGCCGGGCGUAGCAGAUCAAGUGGGAAGGCGCGAGCCGACCUCCUCACGUCCAGCGGCCGCGGCUCCAGCCGUAAAACACCAGGUGCGAGGCGCAAGCCCCGGACCGACCUCUCAAGGUUGACCUCGGAUCAGGUAGGGAUACCCGCUGAACUUAA
rnacentral:misc_RNA from 1 species